ACAGAUUUUUUUGAUUAUGUAGAUUUUUUUUCCCCUAUUGCAGUUUCAUAUGCAAAGCAUGCAUCAGCCACAUCCAUGCUAUCUCCUAAAGCAGUCAUUCUGAAACCCAAUCUGGGGACAGUGCAGACUAAAUAAAAUUUCAUUUUGAUUUGGCCUCCCGCUGAGAAUGGGACUGCUUUGUUUCAGCCGACAGAACCAGCAAGCCAGAAAGGUGUUGAAUACACAAAUACUGAAUUAACGGAUAAUUAUGGUCAUUGUGGUGAAGGAAAUAUUUUUAUCCAGGCCUCAGGAAACAGUGGUCUGGCUAGCAACUGCAGUGGUGUGAAUGGUUACAUGAAGAGUAUUUUCUUGGGGCAAAGCAUGCCAUUGCUUACCUCUGCCCCAACACUCCUGAACUACAAGACCUAAUCAAUGUCAGUGGCCACCUGGAAAUUCCCAGUACAGAAGGAAGGACUGUGGCAGCUACUACCCUGAAAACAAACCUUCAUUCUGAAGUGAGGUGAGUCAGUAAUGUGUUACCACAGAACUUUAGAGGUGGAAGUACUUCAGUAUUCAAAGACACAUCCAGCACCGAUCCUUUUAACUGCUGUUGUCAUUGCUCUGGUUCUUCCACCCAAGUAAGGAUGAUAUAUGUCUUGUUUUCAGCUCACAUGACAAAGAUAUGACACUGUUGUCACUGAUUCUUAAGAAAAACUGUAUGAGUCAAAUUACAAUAGCAACAAAAGUUAGAACAAAGCCCUCUUUCUUGUUGAAACAGUUUGCUGUUUACUGUCUUUUGCCUAGCUGGUGGUAUAGUACAUAGCCCGCAAACAGAUGAAAUACAUUUUAGGUGCAUGAAAGAAAAAAUACUAUUUAAAACCAUAAGAUUACUUUAGGAAAAUAAUUAGAGGCAGCUAUCAUCAUUAACUCUGGAAUACAUAACUAUUCCCAUUCUUAAUAAAAUGUGAUCCUUAAUAAAAAGUGAAUGCAGUUGCACGCCACAGUAUUAAAGAAUAUAUGAGUUAAAUAUCUUCCUGCUUCAAAGAUGCGUGGCCUAAAACCUGAAAAAUUACAGUAUACGCAAAUGAUCAUAAAGGACUGACUUUACUGACCAUUUCUUUGUGUUUGGGGGAUAGAUUUCUGCAUGGCAUAAUAUUUCUACUUGCAUUGGUUUCCUGGCAUGAAAAUGUUUAUUGCACUCAUUAGCUAAGAGGAUGUCGGCACUGGUCCAAUGAACACAGAUCUGCCUUCUGAUUUCAGCCAUUAAAUUGCAAUGGGAUUCACAGGCUUAACAUUGUGGGUGUGAGAAUAAUAAAAUGGAACUCCAUCUUUAGCCCAGUUACCAUGGAUGCAGUUAAAGGUCAUAGUGGCAGCUGCUAACUAGUUGCCUUUUUAGCUGUAUUUCCCCUCCUGCUGCAUGUUUUUGUGUACCUUAGUUUCUGCAGGUCUGCCUUAGAGCAAUUCCACUUCCUUAACUUGGCAUAUGGGUGUCUUCCUCAACAUGAUGGGUGCAUUGCCAUAAACAUGGUUGCUGCUGUCAUCCCUUUAUUGAAUUUUUUGUGUUUUAAUGGAAAAUCACUGUAAAGACCUUAACAAAAAAAUGGAAAUGCAGCCUGCUCAGCAUCCCAAAUUAUUUCUAUUCUCUGCACUCUGCUUCACGUUCCUAUCUUGGGGGAGAAAAAAAAAAAAAAAAAGAAGAAAAAUCCCUCCCUGUAUAUAGUGAAUUCCCAUGUCCAUUUAAACUCAUAAUGGGCUAAGGAACUGAGGCAUUCACAGUGUGGAACAUCAACUACUACUUCUCAAUUUGCCCCAAAGUCCUAGGAGUUAAUUCCCUGUACUGCAUGAAGUGUCAGAGUAAUUACCGCUGAUCAGCCCUAUUUCUUAGCAUUCUGUCCUGCUUUGAGAGGCACCCUGUUUAUAGAUGCACCGCCACAUCAUCACAGUGCUUUCAUUCAGGCAAGCUGCUUAAUCGAAAGGGCUUGGACAAUGCAGGAUUUUUAAAGAGAAGGAGUGGAAAAAAAUUAAAAGUAGCCAAGUAAAAUAAAGAUAAUGGUAAAGAAAUCUGUAAGCUCUACAAAAUAUUUCCGUAUGUCAACACUUAGUUUCAAUAGAUUUUAAAACUCUUAUUUAUUUCCAAAAGAAGGUACUGUGAGUCUUUUCCGUAGUGACUCAACUACAUGAUCACGCCCUAUUUGAAGAUUUUUAGGAGCACAGUACUGGACGCCCUCCUUGAGGAAUGCUUAUUGGUUUUUGUUCUGUUUAUAUAUAGGCUAUGACUCUGACAACCUUUCUGAACCACAAUACAAAGAAACUUUUUUUAAGUUUAUGCCUUUCUGCUUUAAAGAUACAUUUAUAUAACUUGUCAUUUCACAAAAAUAAAUUAAGUACUAUACGAGCCAAAUGUUUCAGUUCCACACAAGGGUGGCUUCUGGUUCUCAUUGGCAGGAUGCCACUUUAUUCAUUUUUAUUUCAAACACAAUGUGAAACUUUUAAUUCUAAUAUAGUAUAUAAGUGUGAUGGCUAUAAAGCCUACACUGUGACUAAUUCAUGCUCCUCUUCUCCUUGCACUCCUGUGAAUUUUAGAGGGUGGCAGAAAGUUACACUGAAUUCAUUUCCACUUAAAUACUAUCAGGCUUUGUGUGUUUGUUAGGGGGAGAAGAGAUUUAUUUGGGCUGACAUUUGUAUUUAAGACUCAAGUGUUCUCCUUGAUUAAGUCACUUUUGGGCAUUGUUCUUGUAGAUCUGUGGAUACCCUGCCCAUAGUGAAAGUAACUUUUUAGCCGAGUCUGUUUUGCCUCAAGAAGUGAAAUAGAUUGUCACAUGGAAAAGGAAAUAAACAGGUAAUGACAAAUACAAGUGUAAACAAACCAGUUAUCUAAUUGGUUGCUGAGAUUCUUCUAAUGACAUCACCCCCCUCUAUGGCAUUGCUUCAUUAAAAAAUGAUAAUAAGUUUCCUAAGUUGUUCAGCAGUGUUAUUGAAAAUAUCAGCAUAAGAUGGCUACAACUAUUACAGUGGCCCAUUUUACUGUUUUCUCCACCACACUUUUAAUCAGAGAAUUUCUUCUUGUGCCUUGUUUACUGUUGAUAUUUUCUGGCUGAUUGGAUAGGAAUGACAUUUUGACAAUUUACUGUAGCAGUAAGCACUGUACAAACAAAAGGUGCUGAUGAAAACUCGGAACCCAUUAUUAUGUAAAUUAUGGCUGACUAACACAGAUUCCAUCUACCAGUCACCAUCAUUGAGACCAGUUUUACUCAAUGAUAAUAAUUUUCAUGAUUGCAGUCUUCAGAGAGAUCAGAAAUAUGCUUUAGCUGUUGCAUUUAUCUACUGUGGGUACUUGACCCUUAAUUAAAUUCUGAAACUUUUUUAUAUAAUAAAGUAAAAUACAGCUGACACUUCCAUUCAAACAAAGAGCAUCAAACACAGAUCUACCAAAUAAGAUAAAGGUAUUUCAGACUUACCUUGUUGUAAUGCUAGUAAACACGAAAACUACAACAUCCUUUGAAAGAGAGCUUAAAGUUUAAAAUGCCAAAAAAAAAAAAGCAUGCCCUUGGGCAAUUUAAAUGUUGCACUUCAGUCCCGUGUCUGCUGAAUGCUGGGCUUGCUCUGCAGAAUGGUCUUGAACUUUAUAUUAAAAUAUGCAUGACAGGAAAAAAAAAAUAAAUGAAUGAGCUUUGAGUAUACAGAUGAUGUUUGUCUGCUCCAGUAUAUUAUUGAGGUCAUAAAUGAGAAAUUGUUAGAAAAUAAAGAAGUAAGAGGUUAUUUAAUGUUCCACACUAACUUUUGUAAGACAGUAUUCUCCCAAAUCUUGAAAAAUACGUUUUGUAAAACUAUUCCUCUUAAAAACAGACUAGGAACAACUCAAGGUGCUGCACUGCUGUGUUAGUGUUCUGCUACUAACAGAUAAAAAAAUGACUAAAUAUCAUAAAAACAGAUCAGUUAAUUUGGUUUGUAUUUAUAUAUUUAUAUGUGUGAGUUCCAUAAACAAGACCAGGGGAAAGGGAUAUACUGUACAUAAAAGGAAGCUGGGCUUUUCAUUUAAUAUUUUAAUUUUUUAAGGCAGCUUUGCAAGCUGUUAGUACUCCUUUCCUCCCUCCUCCCCAGUCUCCUCACCAGUUUUUCAAAUGUGAAGGUGGCCAUUCCAGGUAAGAUGUAAGAGUCAGGAUUAAAAAGAGGUAGGGUAUUAUAAAAAUUGAGAUUCAGGAUUUCUUGCAACAUAGCACUUUCCUAAACUGUCAGUUCAUAGAGCCAAUGAGCUAAGAAAAGUAAUUACUUAAGUGGAUUUCAUGAAGAGUAGAAAGAUGAUUGUGCCACAUUAAAUAACAAUUGUAUCCUUAAUGAUGUGUUGGACUAUAAUACAAACAUCCUUCUGCCAUUAUAUGCACUACAAUAUACCUUUCUAAUUA